ACUCCUACGGGAGGCAGCAGUGGGGAAUCUUGCGCAAUGGGCGAAAGCCUGACGCAGCAACGCCGCGUGAGCGAAGAAGGCCUUCGGGUUGUAAAGCUCUGUCAGGGGGAAAGAAGGCACCUGGGUUAAUAGCCCAAGGGCUGACGGUACCCCCAAAGGAAGCCACGGCUAACUACGUGCCAGCAACCGCGGUAAUACGUAGGUGGCGAGCGUUGUCCGGAAUCAUUGGGCGUAAAGAGCGCGUAGGUGGCUUGUCAGGUCCGAUGUGAAAACCUGGGGCUCAACUCCAGGCCUGCAUCGGAAACCGGCUUGCUAGAGUCUGGGAGAGGAGAGUGGAAUUCCUGGUGUAGCGGUGAAAUGCGUAGAUAUCAGGAGGAACACCGGUAGCGAAGGCGGCUCUCUGGAACAGUACUGACGCUGAGGCGCGAAAGCUAGGGGAGCGAACAGGAUUAGAUACCCUGGUAGUC
rnacentral:rRNA from 1 species